rnacentral:rRNA from 1 species
CAGCAGCCGCGGUAAUACGGAGGGUGCAAGCGUUAUCCGGAUUCACUGGGUUUAAAGGGAGCGUAGGUGGGUUGGUAAGUCAGAGGUGAAAUCUCCGAGCUUAACUCGGAAACUGCCUUUGAUACUAUCAGUCUUGAAUAUUGUGGAGGUUAGCGGAAUAUGUCAUGUAGCGGUGAAAUGCUUAGAUAUGACAUAGAACACCAAUUGCGAAGGCAGCUGGCUACACAUAUAUUGACACUGAGGCUCGAAAGCGUGGGGAUCAAACAGGAUUAGAUACCCUGGUAGUCCACGCCCUAAACUAUGGAUACUCGACAUACGCGAUAAACAGUGUGUGUCUGAGCGAAAGCAUUAAGUAUCCCACCUGGGAAGUACGACCGCAAGGUUGAAACUCAAAGGAAU